GAAAAACCACAACACGCUCAUAUUUUUACUGAAGAUUAUCGGGGAAUUUCUGAUGUUAGAGAAGAGUAGCAAGGAAAACAGCGCGUAUAACGUAUACCUCGCCGGACGGUGCGUGUGGUUGUUGAUUUGAGGAAAAGAGAUUAAAAGCGGUUUUUUGUUUUACUGUGACAAUCAAAUACAUUAUAGCCUAAUGAAAGACACACAGGCCUGUGUUUACACGUCAUUCACAAUCGUUCUGCAAUGCGUUUUUGGGUCAAAGAAGAUUCAAGUCUUACCUGUUGUCUGAUCCGAGGGUUCACUAUCUUGUUCAACUCUCCCUGUAAGAAUUAAGAUACAACUGAUUUAUAUUCACUUAAACAGCGAAAUGAAAAUGAAAGACUUGUUGCAAAUGGAUAUAGCUAUAGCUACACGGCAUCACGUGGCUUCAGCUACUUUUAAAUAUUUUUAUUUGUUGUGGUUGUAUACAAUUCAUGGGCAAACUUCAUUCGUUUUUUUCCUUAACAUAGGCUAACCGUAUAACUGUUCUGGUAAUGACAGAUGGCUCGAUACGGGAAAUCACAAACAAUUAACCUCAACGAUGUUCCAAUGGACCCGAUUCCUUCUUCAGGUAUUAACGAAGCCCGUUUAAUUCUUACAACUACGUGGUUUCAAAGUUACAAUUGUAGGACAACGAGGCUACUGAAUUGCAUUUCCCAUUUCCGCUUCACUUACUUCCAGACGUGCUCUAGGUGGUAUGCUUAAAAACAACUGUCGUUUCAUUCUCAUAUUGGAGUAGGCGAGAUUCAACAUGCACUUGUGCAAAGCUAUGCCAGUAUCAAUUUUUGGCUAUUCCAGUAAAAUAGACGGUAGCUAGAUGCCAUCCACAAUGGGCUUUGGCUUAAUAGCAGCCAUCGAGGGUAUGCCUUCUCCAUGGGCGAGGGAAUCCAACGUAAAGACAGCUAACGUUAACGUAUGCGACAGUCGUUACGAUACGGGUUUGAACGUGAAAGCAUCGCAUUCACGAGUCCUUGAAACAAACGUAUUGAACUACUUGGAUGAUCCACGGAUUAACAUCUUGAGUUUAUCUAAAAAACAAUUCCGUUUCUAGUCCGAUGUUGUCUUUUGCUCCCGCAAAGGAGCAGUCUGGUAUUCCUCAGCCUAUACCUGACAGUUUAAUUUGGUUUCUUGGUAAUUUGAAUGUUAUAACAUAGCCUAGAGGUAACUCAGCUAACAGUUAGUCAAAUGUACUUCGAAAGCGCUCAUUUUAGACGACGGAUCAAACGCCGUGAACGAUCGCCAAGCAACGCUGCUAUUGAACCAACCAGAAUCUUUUUUUUUUUUUUUUUCAAGAACAUGGGAAAGGUGCAAGGAGAAAUCCCGAAAUUAGAAGAGAAAUACGACGGUAGACUAAGAAACAAUCGUGCUCAAUCGAACUAUUUACCCUGAACGUCACCUCCUGAGGUUGCCAUUGGAGUUCCGCACCACGUAAGGCUUCUGAUACAAUGAAGCUAGUUGACUGUGGCCCUGCCAACUUGAACAAAACGAAAGGUUUAAAAAAUAACGCCCCAUUAGCGCAAUUGGCUUAGGACUUCAGUCUUGACUUGCACCGUCAUCGACCCAGAGCCUGCCUACUGCCCGCCUGUACUUCUGCCCCGCUGACAGCUUUCCUGGCUACCGGACUUCUUGCAUGGUGUACCGAUUACAAGACUGCCUUCUCCCUCGGUACUGCACUUUGGUUUUUUGGCUGGAUUUUCUGUGUAUGAACAUUGCUUGUUUUUUGACCACACUCUCUGGAUAUUCCCUGAAUAAAGCCCUGACGGGACUUUUAUACCA